rnacentral:rRNA from 1 species
GUUACGCUAAUACCGCAUAUUCUGUGAGCAGGAAAGAGGGGGAUCGCAAGACCUCUUGCUUUAGGAGCGGCCGAUGUCGGAUUAGCUAGUUGGUGAGGUAAAGGCUCACCAAGGCGACGAUCCGUAGCGGGUCUGAGAGGAUGAUCCGCCACACUGGGACUGAGACACGGCCCAGACUCCUACGGGAGGCAGCAGUGGGGAAUUUUGGACAAUGGGCGCAAGCCUGAUCCAGCCAUGCCGCGUGAGUGAAGAAGGCCUUCGGGUUGUAAAGCUCUUUCGGUGGGGAAGAAAUUGCUUCGGUUAAUACCUGGAGUAGAUGACGGUACCCGCAUAAGAAGCACCGGCUAACUACGUG